ACUCCUACGGGAGGCAGCAGUGGGAAUAUUGGACAAUGGGGGCAACCCUGAUCCAGCAAUACCGCGUGAGUGAUGACGGCCUUCGGGUUGUAAAGCUCUUUUAGUGGAAAAGAUAAUGACGGUAUCCACAGAAAAAGCACCGGCUAACUUCGUGCCAGCAGCCGCGGUAAUACGAAGGGUGCUAGCGUUGUUCGGAAUUACUGGGCGUAAAGAGCUCGUAGGCGGUUUGUCACGUCUGCUGUGAAAAUCCAAGGCUCAACCUUGGACUUGCAGUGGGUACGGGCAGGCUAGAGUGCGGUAGGGGAGAUGGGAAUUCCUGGUGUAGCGGUGGAAUGCGCAGAUAUCAGGAGGAACACCAAUGGCGAAGGCACAUCUCUGGGCCGUAACUGACGCUGAGGAGCGAAAGCGUGGGGAGCAAAC
rnacentral:rRNA from 1 species